rnacentral:ncRNA from 1 species
CAAAAGCAUGGUCCCGACUUUUAUAUUAGCCUUAGCUAAACUUACACAUGCAAGUAUCAGCAGUCCGGUGAGAAUGCCCUCAAUACCCAACAAGUUUAAGAGGAGCUGGUAUCAGGCACGCUACUAGUAGCCCAAAACACCUUGCUCAGCCACACCCCCAAGGGUACUCAGCAGUGAUCGACAUUAAAUAUAAGCGAAAGCUUGAUUUAGUUAUAGCUAAAAGAGCCGGUUAAACUCGUGCCAGCCACCGCGGUUAUACGAGAGGCUCAAGUUAAUACUAUCGGCGUAAAGUGUGAUUAUAGGACCCAAUACUAAAGCCAAAAGGCCUCAAAACUGUUAUACGCCCAUUGAGACUUGUAGGCUCCAAAACGAAAGUAGCUUUAAAACUUUAACCUAGAAUUCACGACAGCUAGGAAACAAACUGGGAUUAGAUACCCCACUAUGCCUAGUCGUAAACUUUGAUGGUAAAAUACAUAUACCAUUCGCCAGGGAACUACAAGCGUAUAGCUUAAAACCCAACGGACUUGGCGGUGCCCCACACCCCACCUAGAGGAGCCUGUUCUAUAACUGAAACUACCCGUUCAACCUCACCACCCCUAGCCCCCAGUCUAUAUACCGCCGUCGCAAGCCCACCCUGUGAAGGAUCAAUAACAAGCUAAAUGGGCAUAGCCCAAAACGUCAGGUCGAGGUGUAGCACAUGGGGUGGAAAGAAAUGGGCUACAUUUUCUAUACCUAGAAUAAACGAAUAAUAGUCAUGAAACACGCUAUUUGAAGGAGGAUUUAGCAGUAAAAAGAAAAUAGAGCGUUCUUUUGAAAUCGGCCCUGGGACGCGCACACACCGCCCGUCACUCUCCGCCAUUUUUCACAAACUCACUAAAUAAUAAUUUAAAUAUAACUACUAGCGGAGACAAGUCGUAACACGGUAAGUGUACCGGAAGGUGCACUUGGAUUAAC